AUAAGAGAAAAAAGAAAAGAGGGGAGCUUUCCUGGUUGUUUCCAAUACCAUGAUUUUUCUUACUUUGUUGUUUCGUGGGUUUUUGUUGACAGCUGUUUUACAUGUAAAUGCAAUGUGGUCCCUUAAAAUAUAGGACAGGCAUUCAUGAGGAAGUGGUCUUGCUUCACCACUUAAUAGUGCUUCGGACUCAUCGGAAGACUUGUCCAUGGAGGCAUUAGUGAGCUCAGCCAGAGCUAAAGAAAACAAUGGUGCCGAUGGAUCAUCCCAGAAUAACUUUCUAGAUGUUUCUCACUGUGAUAUUCGAACCAGGGGACCGUAGAAUGAGCUAACAUUCUUGCGAAGUAUUAGCCUCCAAUCACAGAUGGUCAAAGUACACUAGGUGCCUCUCAGAAGCCUGAACUAGCCUCACCAGCUAUCCAUGGCGGGCAACUCAGUAAGGAAACAAUGGAAGGCGGGAUGAAGUUACAUAGUGAGUACAGGCCCUAAUGAACAUGCAGUUCAGUAUUGAUGGAUUUUGAGGAGGAGUCUGUUCAUUGAGCUUUUGGAGAUGAUGAUGUUAGGCUGCAAAAUCGACGUAUAAAAUAAAUGAGAUUUUAUGAAGUGUAUUGCAGAUUAACAGUGGACAUUAUUUAAUAAUCAGAGAUAGAUUGCAGAAACUCA